rnacentral:rRNA from 1 species
GACAGAGGGUGCAAACGUUGUUCGGAUUUACUGGGCGUAAAGCGUGUGUAGGCGGCUUGGCAAGUUGGAUGUGAAAGCCCACGGCUCAACCGUGGAAGCGCACCCAAAACUGCUUCGCUCGAGUCUCGGAGAGGAAGGUGGAAUGCUUGGUGUAGAGGUGAAAUUCGUAGAUAUCAAGCGGAACACCGGUGGCGAAGGCGGCCUUCUGGACAGUGACUGACGCUGAGACGCGAAAGCGUGGGGAGCAAACAGG